GGAACGGCCCAAAGCCUAUUUGAAAUCGAAAUUGAUCGCCGUCCUCCGAAUCCCUGACGCCCGCCGCAUCCAAAUUCGUCGUCUUUCCCAUGGCUGGUGAGUCGACGGAGGCAGUCUCCCGCUAGACGUUCUUUUUAGCCUACCGCGCGGCCACCGCCUAAUAAUGGACCAGCGUGAGUGAUGAGGAACUCCUACGCCGGUCGCGUGACGGCGUCCCACGGCCAAUAACCUACCCUUGGAGACUGUGAAGUCGAUCCCAGCAAGGCAACGGAAGGCGCCGCGUCCCGCGCAGAUUGGGAUCGAAGAUUUGUUCAUCCUCAAGUUUAAAUGUGCGAGCUUUUUGUGUCAAAGAAUGCCCUUUUUCAUGCAUCUAUAAGAUUAUCAGAUAAUAUUGCAGGUUGUGCCUUGGCUAAGCUCAAACAUGCACUCACCACCAAUCCUAAUGGGACAAUGCAUUCCUUAAUCAAGGGCGCUUCAUGUUGUAUUAGAUGUACUCAGGCUGGGAAUUCGAAAAGCAUUGAAUUAUGACAACAUGUUCCAUUGGGAAGUAACAUAUAUAUGCUUUCAGUGGAGGAGAAUCAAUGAUUGCUCCCAUUACUAAGCUUUGCUGAUCUCACAGUUUGUGAAAUUUCUCAAAAGGAGUAGUGAUGGCUGGCGUCUGGGAUAGGGUUUGCUGAAUUCAGAAGAGCUGACAAGAAGCUACAAGUAGUAGCAGGGUAAGGAGGGAUAAGAACAAGAUGGAAGAUAGGGAUCAAAAGGCCAAGAUAGUUCCUUCUCCAGGACGAAGAUAAUUCCAUUGUAGCAAAAGAAGGAUAAGAAGACAAAAGUGCAUGAAGAUGCUUAUCACUGGGUGCUGCUCAUGGUGUGAUGAGGUAACCCAUUUGGUUCCUCUACCAACAAUGUGUGAGGUUUUUGGGGCUCCCAAUUCUGCCACUUGAUGGCACAUAAGAAGAUAUUUAGCCAUGAUCUUCUCCUUUGCUCUUUUUUUUUGCUCCCUUGGAACAAGAUAUUGCAACACUUGCUGCAUAUUUGCUUUGUACCUUCUCUUUUCUUAUUCCCCCCUCUUGUUCUGCUGGUGAAAUAAUUCCACACCUGGGAUCACUAAGUUUCAUGUAUUUUAUAUUACUUAUUUA